rnacentral:rRNA from 1 species
GAUGAACGCUGGCGGCGUGCUUAACACAUGCAAGUCGAACGAUUAAACUGGCUUCGGCCAGAUAUAGAGUGGCGAACGGGUGAGUAACACGUGACCAACCUGCCCCGCGCUCCGGGACAACCGCUGGAAACGGCGGCUAAUACCGGAUGCUCCGGGGAGGCCCCAUGGCCUCCCCGGGAAAGCCUUAACGGCGCGGGAUGGGGUCGCGGCCCAUUAGGUAGACGGCGGGGUAACGGCCCACCGUGCCCGCGAUGGGUAGCCGGACUGAGAGGUCGACCGGCCACAUUGGGACUGAGAUACGGCCCAGACUCCUACGGGAGGCAGCAGUGGGGAAUUUUGCGCAAUGGGGGAAACCCUGACGCAGCAACGCCGCGUGCGGGACGAAGGCCUUCGGGUUGUAAACCGCUU